UACGUAGGUGGCAAGCGUUGUCCGGAAUUAUUGGGCGUAAAGCGCGCGCAGGCGGUCCUUUAAGUCUGAUGUGAAAUCUUGCGGCUCAACCGCAAGCGGUCAUUGGAAACUGGGGGACUUGAGUGCAGGAGAGGAAAGCGGAAUUCCAUGUGUAGCGGUGAAAUGCGUAGAGAUAUGGAGGAACACCAGUGGCGAAGGCGGCUUUCUGGCCUGUAACUGACGCUGAGGCGCGAAAGCGUGGGGAGCAAACAGG
rnacentral:rRNA from 1 species